rnacentral:rRNA from 1 species
AGGACGAACGCUGGCGGCGUGCUUAACACAUGCAAGUCGAGCGGAAAGGCCCUUCGGGGUACUCGAGCGGCGAACGGGUGAGUAACACGUGAGUAACCUGCCCUUCACUUUGGGAUAACCCUCGGAAACGGGGGCUAAUACCGGAUACGACAUGGGAUCGCAUGGUCUCGUGUGGAAAGUUUUUCGGUGGGGGAUGGGCUCGCGGCCUAUCAGCUUGUUGGUGGGGUGAUGGCCUACCAAGGCGACGACGGGUAG